CCUACGGGUUGCAGCAGUGGGGAAUAUUGGACAAUGGGGGCAACCCUGAUGCAGCGACGCCGCGUGAGUGAAGAAGUAUUUCGGUAUGUAAAGCUCUAUCAGCAGGGAAGAAAAUGACGGUAACUGACUAAGAAGCCCCGGCUAACUACGUGCCAGGAGCCGCGGUAAUACGUAGGGGGCAAGCGUUAUCCGGAUUGACUGGGGGUAAAGGGAGCGUAGACGGCAGCGCAAGUCUGGUGUGAAAUGCCCGGGCCCAACCCCGGAACUGCUCUGGAAACUGUGAGGCUGGAGUGCAGGAGAGGUAGGUGGAAUUCCUGGUGUAGCGGUGAAAUGCGUAGAGAUCAGGAGGAAUACCGGCGGCGAAGGCGGCUUACUGGACAGAAACUGACGUUGAGGCUCGAAAGCGUGGGGAGCAAACAGGAUUAGAUACCCGAGUAGUC
rnacentral:rRNA from 1 species